rnacentral:sRNA from 1 species
UCGCCGUACGGAAUGCUCAGGUCCGCCGCAUCUCCUGGGUUUUCGUAAGGCCGGCCGGCCCGGAGCUUGUGAAAGCGGCCUCUUUCGCAGCGCUCCGGGCCGCCACCUC